CAGUCGGUGAAAUAGACGAACCCACUGGAUGGGUUCUAAGUGUAUUAUGAUGAUGUGUAAGAGUGGAUGUAAAUAGCUUCUGGAUAUCAGUACAAUGCAAAAUAAAGACAGUUGUAAACUGACUACCAACGGACUUAGUCGUCAUGUAUCAUGCGUCCUUUAUUUCUCCGAAAUAUCUUAAAAUCUCGGUUAUAACAGUGUCGACGAGGAGAAAUUUGUGUUCAAAGUAUGCCGUAUGUUUCACGUUAACCAAUGAGUGAAUUUUGUUGUUUCGACGUGAAUUUUGGUGUAUGUAAUUUGUGAUAUGUGGUGCGAUAUGUUUUGUCAACUUCCCCGUUCAACCCGUAUCCUUUCACGACCACCGGUAUUCAGUGCUUUUGGCGUGAAUUUUUCGGUGUUGGUUUUUGGUUGUGCAUAAAGGCAAGUUUGUGAUAUCCACCAUUGUGAAAACGCGUGCAAUGUUUAGUGCAUUAAAACCCAAU